AACGCACAUUGCGCCCGCCAGUAUUCUGGCGGGCAUGCCUGUUCGAGCGUCAUUUCAACCAUCAAGCCCCCCGGCUUGUGUUGGGGACCUGCGGCUGCCGCAGGCCCUGAAAAGCAGUGGCGGGCUCGCUGUCACACCGAGCGUAGUAGCAUACAUCUCGCUCUGGGCGUGCUGCGGGUUCCGGCCGUUAAACCACCUUUUAACCCAAGGUUGACCUCGGAUCAGGUAGGAAGACCCGCUGAACUUAA
rnacentral:misc_RNA from 1 species